rnacentral:rRNA from 1 species
UACGGGGGGGGCAAGCGUUGUUCGGAAUUACUGGGCGUAAAGGGCUCGUAGGUGGCCAACUAAGUCAGACGUGAAAUCCCUCAGCUUAACUGGGGAACUGCGUCUGAUACUGGAUGGCUUGAGUUUGGGAGAGGGAUGCGGAAUUCCAGGUGUAGCGGUGAAAUGCGUAGAUAUCUGGAGGAACACCGGUGGCGAAGGCGGCAUCCUGGACCAAUACUGACACUGAGGAGCGAAAGCGUGGGGAGCGAACAGG